rnacentral:rRNA from 1 species
CGGGGAAUAUUGGGCAAUGGGCGAAAGCCUGACCCAGCAACGCCGCGUGAGGGAAGAAGGUUUUCGGAUUGUAAACCUCUGUCCUUGGGGACGAAGGAAGUGACGGUACCCAAGGAGGAAGCCCCGGCUAACUACGUGCCAACAGCCGCGGUAAUACGUAGGGGGCGAGCGUUGUCCGGAAUGACUGGGCGUAAAGGGCGCGUAGGCGGCUUGAUAAGUUAGAAGUGAAAGUCCUGCUUUCAAGGUGGGAAUUGCUUUUAAUACUGUUGAGCUUGAGUGCAGAAGAGGUAAAGCGGAAUUCCAAGUGUAGCGGUGAAAUGCGUAGAUAUUAGGAGGAACACCAGUGGCGAAGGCGGACUGACUGGACGAUAACUGACGCUGAGGCGCGAAAGCGUGGGGAGCAAACAGGAUUAGAUACCCUGGUAGU